rnacentral:lncRNA from 1 species
AUAGUUUUGUUCAAUAGGGUCUAAAUUGCAUAAAUUACAAAAUUUGUGGUGGCAAUAGGAAAUAGGAGCUCUUAAAUGGACUAUAGUGAAAUUGGAUUGAAAAUUUGAGUUUUAAUUUGGAAGUUAUGUUAGUCUCGGUUUUAGGGACUAAUUUGAAUAAAAUGUAAAUUUUGUGUAAAUUUGUAAUUGGAUGUGAAUUUGAUUGUGUAUUGAUGAUCUGGUGUGUUUAUGUUAAUC